rnacentral:rRNA from 1 species
GACGAACGCUGGCGGCGUGCUUAACACAUGCAAGUCGAACGCUGAAGCUUGGUGCUUGCACUGGGUGGAUGAGUGGCGAAAGGGUGAGUAAUAAGUGAGUAACCUGCCCUUGACUCUGGGAUAAGCCUGGGAAACUGGGUCUAAUACUGGAUACGACAUGUCACCGCAUGGUGGUGUGUGGAAAGGGUUUUACUGGUUUUGGAUGGGCUCACGGCCUAUCAGCUUGUUGGUGGGGUAAUGGCUCACCAAGGCGACGACGGGUAGCCGGCCUGAGAGGGUGACCGGCCACACUGGGACUGAGACACGGCCCAGACUCCUACGGGAGGCAGCAGUGGGGAAUAUUGCACAAUGGGCGGAAGCCUGAUGCAGCGACGCCGCGUGAGGGAUGACGGCCUUCGGGUUGUAAACCUCUUUCAGCACGGAAGAAGCGAAAGUGACGGUACGUGCAGAAGAAGCGCCGGCUAACUACGUG